UACGGAGCCUCCUCAGAGCUCAGCGCUCCUGCUGGUCUCCAGGGAAGAACCUAUUCCCACCACUGGCCUCUGAGAAAGUCAGGCUGCACAGACUUCCCACGGAGAGCUGACCCCACUCCUCUAUGCCAAAUCAGGGAGCCAGUUACAGCUGGAAAGAUGUUGGAGAGCUUUAAAGAACGCAUCACAAUGACACAUUUCACCUGCUGGUAGGACUGUCAAAGCAUCUCCUUUUGGCUGUCAGAACCAGGCCCAUAACUGAGAUCCAAGCUGUUGUCCCUGGCUCCUGAAUUGGCACCCAUGCCAGCCCAGAGGAUGGAUCUGGUCCCACAGCCUGUGGCUAUCUACAGUGCUCCGAGCUCACCCCUUGAUGAAGAAAUCAGAAAAUCAGAAGGAUUUCAUAACUUAGGCAGCAUAUCCUGGUCCAAACCAGACAGCACCAGCUCUCUGAUGUCCCCAGGUUCCCAUAUGAACCCCCAACCUGAACAAGAUGGCCCCAAAUCAAUUAUUAAAGCCCCAGAAAAUGUUUUCAUGUAGACCUCCCACAACGUGGGCCCUAAAGACUUUGAUCAGAGUCAGCAGUGCUAGCAGCCAAGUGAUACUUCUAUUCCUCCUCGGCCAUGCUCUUGGGAGUAGAGCUCUUGAGGAAUCUCAAAGGUUCAACAGGACUGUGAUUAGUGAAGCAGGACUUGGGCACAUCUGGGUACCUCUUUUGACAUGCUGUCAUCAGCAAGCCAUUACCACCCUACCUAGUACCCAGGACCAUGCGAUGUGGGAAAAUGUGGUCUAAAUGCCUAAAUGCAAAACUGAUUCAAAAACAUAGGCCUCUGAAUGUGAGAAUGUUUUAGGAAUACCUUCCUCAAUCUAUUUCUACCAUAUUUUCCUUUUUUAUGUAUGUACAAGAGUGAGCUAUGAUUAAGA